rnacentral:tRNA from 1 species
GAUAGAAUGGCUGAGUUUUUCAAGCGAUAAAUUGUAAAUUUAUUCACGAGUUUAUACUCUUCUAUCAAU